UCACUUAGUGAUAGCUGUUUCCGAGAUGCAUACAGAAUUAAUAUCUAAAUUAACCCGAGUUUACAAUAGGCAAAAUAUUAAUGUGAAAAUACUCUGGGUUGUAUUUAUUUUUAUAUAGUUUUUAUUAUUAUUAUUAUUAUUAUUAUUAUUAUUAUUAUUCUUUUUAAAGUAGACAGUAGUUAGCAAUUUUAUGGUGUUUACUUGGUCUAACUGAUUUCUAUAAAGCAGUAAACAUGAAAAUAACUGUUGUUGGUUUUUUUAUUUUAUUUUUUUUUUAGUUACUGCUUUGGGCAGUAGGCAGUGUUUGGGACAAGGUAGUUUUAUGGGAGUCUUGGUGUCACUUUGUGGUUAUUUUUAGUAGAUGGUGGCAGCUUUACACAAAUCGUUGGUCAAAGAGCACAAGCCCUCAGUCUCAAUCUGAAUAACGACUCAUACUGUACAACCUGGACAUUAUGGCCUGCACUGGUUCAGUAAUGUAAUCCUGCUUCAAAAUUCACUGAAGGAAUGAAGGUUUUCCUCUGUAGUUUGGCCAUUCUCCUCUGACCUCUCUCAUGAACAAGGUUUUCUGCCCAUAGAACUGCCACUCACUGGAUAAUAAGAUAAGGUAAGAUAAGAUAAGAUAAGAUAAGAUAAGACUUUAUUGAUCCCAUGGGGAAAUGAGAGCAUUCCGGCAGCAUACAUCAACAACAAGGCACAAAAUACACCUAUGAAAUAAAGUAAGAAUAAAAAUAAGAUAAAAGUAAAACGAAAAUUGAAUAUAUUAAAAAAUAAAAUAAAAUUUGAAAGUACAAAUAGUAAAAAUAUGCAUAGCAUUGAUAUAUUAUAAAAGUAUACUUAUAAAGUAUGUAUCAUAUACAGCUAUACUGUAACUAUGCUAAGAUGCAAAAAGUACGUUAUAUUGUUUUGCAGUUCUAUAUAGGCUAGUGGAACACUUAUAUAUGCAGUGUUAUCUACAGAUGAGACAUCCACAGAUGGGGUACUUACAGUUGCCAUGGAUGCUUUUUUAUUAUUAUUAUUUUAUUUGUGUUUUUGUUUGUUUUUGUUGCCUCCUGUACUGUUUCUUGUUUCAAACUCUAGAGAAUGUUACAUGUGAGAUCAGCAGUUUCCGAAAUACUUAAACCAGCCUAUCUGACACGGUCCAAGUCACUAGGAUCACAAUUUUCUCCGUUCAGAUGUUUGAUAUGAACAUUAUCUAAAAACUUAUGACCUGUAUCUGUUGCCACAUGAUUGGUUAAUCGGAUAAUUGCAUGAAUGUCCAGAGGUAGGCUACACGUGUUCCUAUUAAAGUGGCCGGUGAGUGUACUGUUCUAAAGUCGGUUUAUAGGCUAAAAUAAUGUCAGCUUAAGUGUAAUGACAAUUUUAGCCCAAUAAGACAUGUGCUCGGUUGCUCAGUGAUGAUAGCUUAAAAGUUCUAAUAAAUACCCAGAAUAUUAUAGUAGCCUACACCUUAUAAUAAUACGCUUAGUGUUUGAACAAUUGUCUAGAUGCAAAAAAAAAGGACAGACAAGAUCAGAUAGGCAGGAAGAAAUAGCGAAACCGCUUUUUUUCCUCUUCCUUUCCCAUUUCAGGUCGUUCUCGACUUCAGUGGCUGCUCGGCUGUAGAAUAGAGCGCGCGCCUCCGACACCCUGCUAAUCGCGCACUUCCGGAUCAUCACAUUUAUUCCACAAAGAGUGGCCGAGAGGACCUACAUUAUAUCCAGAGCUUAAUUUAUUGCCGAACUGCAGCUUCAGGAAACUGGUAUUACCUCUCAGUCAUGGGAAACAGCGUGUCCGGAAUCCCACCGCUCCAGAGAGGAUAUCACAACAGAUUUCACAGACUUCACAACUCCCAUAAAGGGUUCUCCAGUUUCAUCCCACCUCCCAAAAACAUGCAUAAUUUCAUAUGUUCUCCCCAUGUUCCUGUGGGUUUCCUCCAUGUUGUCCAUUUUCCUCCAAUCUCCCAAAAACAUGCAGGUCCUUCACGUGUCUUUUCGCAAACUUCAAACAGGAUUCAAGAUGAACCUUUUUGAGAAAUGGCUUUCUUCCUGAAACUCUCCCAUACAGCCAAGAUGUGUACAAUAUCUUUGAUAUUGUUUUCGGGAUGCACAUGCUUUUUGCUGUUGCCCAUAAAAUCCUGUAAGUCUCUCGAAGUUGCAAUUUGUUUCUGGGUGGCCUCUCUGACCAAAUGUCUUGUUUUUCAGUCAUCUAGUUUUGACGGAUGUCCGUAUUUGGCAGACUGUGGGUGUUACCAUGCACUUUUCCACUUCUAAAUUAUUGAAUGUAUACCUUCCACAACUUUGUUGCAGAGUUGUUUUGGUCUUCUGAUCGGAAGGUUGUGAGUUCAAAUCCCUGAAAGCAGUGGCACUGAAAGCUGCCACUGCUGGGCCCUUGAGCAAGACCCUUAACCUUCAAGUGCUCAGUUGUAUUAAAUGAGAUAAAUGUAAGUUGUUCUGAAUAAGAGUGUCUGCCAAAUGUCAUAAAUGUAAAUGCAAUGUAAAUGUAAUCCUGGAUGCAGACUCAAGUCCACUGACACCAUUGCUACAGAUGACAUAGUGUUUCAGGAAUUAAUCCAGACAGAUAAUUAAAGAUCUGGUAGUGAUCUGCAUGCUAAACUUGUGAAUGAACUCGCAAUUAGAACUUACUUAGCAGACUAUGAGCUAGAGUAAUUGUGGCUCAAUAGUGUAUUUGUGCAUGUUGAUGAGCAUUCGUUAAAAAAAAAAAAAGCAUUCUUCAAUGGUUAGUUCUUAGCUUCCUUUAAAGGGAAGCACUCUAUCAUAGUGUUCUAUCUAGAGCCUUUAAUGGUUUAAUAGACUUUUUUCUUCUAUGUGUGUACUCCAGCAUCAGUAUGUGUCUGCAGAGCAAGGCAGCUAUAUCCUCCCAGCCGGGUUCUCUUUGACAACACAACAUAGCAUGUACAAUACCGUUCCCAUGGUGAUUGCCAUUAAGUAUAAUGGCAGAGCAAUAAUAACAGGAAACAGUGGGCUAAAGACAGAGCUGCGUGUUUGUGAUGCAAAAAGAACACUCAUGCUUAUUCACAUUUUUUUAAAUAAUAAACCAUAUAAUUUAGACUCAUCGUUGUGUGCCUCUCUCCAACUAUAAUCUAUUUAUCUGUUCUGCCCUUUCUCUGCAAUAUACAAUAGGCUUACAUCAAAUUAUAGGUUCCAUUAAAAAAGAGAUUGCUGU